AACGAACGCUGGCGGCAUGCCUAACACAUGCAAGUCGAACGAGAACUUCGGGUCUAGUGGCGCACGGGUGCGUAACGCGUGGUAACCUACCCUUAGGUUAGGAAUAACUCCCCGAAAGGGAUGCUAAUACCAGAUAGUGUCAUCGGGCCAAAGAUUUGUCGCCUGGGGGUGGGCGCGCGUCUGUUUAGCUUGUUGGUGGGGUACAGGCUUACCAUGGCUACGAUGGGUAGCUGGUCUGAUAGGAUGGUCGGCCACGUUGGGACUGAGACACGGCCCAGCCUCCUACGGGAGGCAGCAGUGGGGAAUAGUGCACAAUGGGCGGAAGCCUGAUGCAGCAACGCCGCGUGCGGGAUGACGGCCUUCGGGUUGUAAACCGCUUUCGCCUGGGACGAAGCGAGAGUGACGGUAAUGGGUAAAGAAGCACCGGCUAACUACGUG
rnacentral:rRNA from 1 species